CCACAGACCAGCCGCCCAGACAGGCCUCAGACAAGUCAGGAUGAGGCUGGGAUUGCAGGUUCUGCUUCUGGAAGCCGACCUCCUGUAAGGCGCCCAUCACAGGGCUUGGGCCACUUACCCAGGAGGCCAAGUAAGACACGGCGUCUUGGCUCGGAAUCUGCGGCUCCAUCAUCCCCACCCAGGCGACGACUUUCGGCAGUGUCACCCCAGCCACCACUGGCACUAUUGGCGAGUUCGCAGAGUGAUGAGCCCCGAUCCCCUCAGUUAUCUGAGCCCAGCUUGAUGGCCGACGUGGACCAGCAGGGACAAGACCAACAGGCAACCAUCACACUGCAACUUACACCUGUUGACCCAAGCCAGCCAAUACAGCUGCAGGAUAUCCCCCAAGCCUCCAUCAGUCCACAACUGGCACAAGCUCCGCCCCCAAGCCAAAUACCAGAUGAUUUUUGGGCCAGUUGGACAAGCCAACAGGCCCAAAGCAAUGCCAGCCUGACCGCACAUACACAACACCUUGCCAGUCUGCCCCAUCAUCUACCGCGUAUUAGUCGCAACUCGGGCAGACUGAUUGUACAAGUAGGGCGAAUGGCAACCUCAAUGGAGCAAAUAAGGGCUGACAACAGCCAAAUGCUUGCUCAUUUAUCGCGCAUCAUAGAUGAGCAACAGCGCCAUCAGCAGGCACUCGUUUAGCUCAUUCAGCACAACCAAGUGGUGAAUGAGUCGUUAUCCAGGAUUGUAGCCAGCCACACUGCAACCAACACUCAGCUGAUUGCAAGCCUUAAUAAUUUGAGCAGCAAUAUUUCAUUGAUGGGAGCUCACCAAGUAACCUCCAGCUCGGGGACCACGACCCCUAUCCAAACGCCAGUAACCUCCCCUGUUCGGCGUUCCUCCAGAGCACGUGCCAGUGAGCCAGCACAAAGCUCAGCACCCAGCACACACAAGCGGAAAAAAUAACCCCAAUGUGAUUGGCAAAAUAAAAAUUUGUAUUUGACAAACACACAA